CCAUGUAAAGACUCAGGGAGAAGAUGGCCAUCUACAAGCCAUGGAGAGAGGCCUUCAGAAGAAACCAACCCUGCUGACACCUUGAUCUAGGACUUCUGGCCUCCAGACACUAUGAGGAAACUGAGGCCCAGAGGAAUUGAGGUCGGUAAGCAGCAGAGCCAGGUUUCCGAUCUAAGUCAGGACUGCUUCUCCUCUUCAUCCAGCCUCCAUCCUGCACGUGCUGUGAUUUAGGAUGGUUAUAUUUUUCCAGAAGCUCACCUCUGGUCCCAAGGAGCAGGCACUGGCAAACACCCUCUGGCAUGCAGAGAGAUGUGUGGUUCCCUCAGAACCAGAAGGGGUUUGCUUCAGGAAUACAGGAAAGAAACAUUGAAGAAAAUACUGUUAAGGCCCCCAAACCUGAAUUUUAUCACUCAGAGGAACAGGUCCACGCCUAAGGAGACAGUUAGUAAAUGUUCCAGGAAGAAAUGUCACUUCAACAUGAAGGUAUUGCUCUGGAAUCAAGAGAGUGACAGAACCCUGCCUAUAAUGGCAAUGCUUUGGAGAAAAAUCCCUCUGUCAUCACACCACUUGAUAAACAAGUCACACAAAGCCUCUUGGCAACUGCAGAACUUUUCAACACAUAAAGAGAAAUAAAUGGAAUCUAGUCAGAGAGGACUAUUGACAGCAGAGACACUGUUACCUGCAAGUAAGUGGCGCUAUACCCAGAGUGUUGUGAGCACUCAGUCAUCACCGUACGGAUCCAACUCAAAUCCCUUCCUUAUCCUCACAUCCUGCAGAGCGUGGCAAGAUCUUGAGUCCUGGACACCACUGGCUGAGGAGACAGAUGUCAGCUCCCAUCAACAUAUCUAUCUGCAUUUCAGCUGUUAAAGUUACUGGGUGCUGCCUUUCCCUGUGUACCAUUUUGCAACCAUGAGCUUACUAAGGGGCAGAGGACCUAAAAGAAAACUGAUUAGUGUCCUGAUCUUUUCUGUUGAAAAGCCGAAGAUUUCAAAAUAUGCCUGAUGAACUAGCAUAACCUUAUGUGAAUCCCAAGAACAGCAAAGGAUUGUAAAGACAUUUAUCAUAACGACGGGAGAAGGGUGCCCGGAGGACGGAUCCAGACACAACAGCGGGACCUAGGUAGAAAAACUGUGGAUCCUGGGCCAAGUGUGCAGCUGAUGUUCCAGCCAUGCUGUCACAGUGUAUGUGCUAAAAGGCAAAUGGCUACCCACGGUAAUGGAAAGAGAUGUGUCACCAAGAGCUGUAAGGCUUGGGACUCAAGGAGUUUUGGUGUGGGAUAUUCUUGGCUGAACAUAAGCUUGAGGUACCACCAGAAGUAAAAAGUCCAUUCAGUCCCCUUGGGAAGCAGAGAUGCUGGUGACCAGGGAGACCUGAGGGUGCGGGGGCCAGCCUUACAGGGCCAGAAGUGCUGGCAUCCAGCUCAGAGGCUCCAUCUUCCCGGGAACCCCAUGGGUCUACCCGUGAUACAGAUACCAUCACUUAAGUGCCAGUACGACUCGGAGCAAAACAGAAGCAAGUGUUUGCUCACCACCUGUAUCUGGGCUGCCUUCAUAUUGAAAGGAAGAGAACAAGAAAGAGCAAAUUGGGCAGAUUGAUCCUAUCGUGUUGAGGGUUAGUAUCUGAGGAAAAGAGACCCAGAUCCACUGCAAAAACAAUAACGUUAGAAAACUUGGAGCAUGUCUGCCCCACGUUCUCCCAGCGACAGAGGUGGCAUCACCAUCCACUGAUUCCUGCAGCCCACUAAUGCCAGGAGGAAAGGAAGGGCCCCAAGGAGACCCGAACCAGGGGUGAGAGGCACAGUCAUCUCUGUGCUGUGCAUCAGUACUGACUUCCCAUGGAAUCUCAUCUACGUGGAAAUUCACAUAAAUUAAUUAAUUUUCAACAUCGCACUCCUGAAGGUUAUGACUUUAUUCUUGACUUAUUCACAAGUACAGUCUGUGCUUAUCUGGCCAAGUAACCAAAGGAAAAAAAAAAGAAGGAAUGUAUGUACUUUCCAGUUUGGAAAGGAAUGUGUACUUUGUGCACGUUAGUCUUAUCAUGUUUGCUCGCUUUCAGGCUUUUGCUCAGGAACCAUAAAAUGGGUUUAAAUAAAGUAAAAAGGAAAUUGAAUUCCAUCAAUCAAUACACUAAAACACAGCCAAAAUUAGAUGUCAUGAGGUUAUACCAUUUCAUCACUUAUAAUUAAUAUUGUCUGUGCAGGCCUCUUCUGAGAAAAUAUUUAUGUUAUGUUUCACUUUCUACAAAGAAAUUCAUCUUCUGGCUUCCCCAUAAAUUGAAAAAUUACAUAGUGAGUUAGGAAAAAAGAGAAAACUAUUGUAGUCCC